rnacentral:lncRNA from 7 species
ACUAAACCAUGUCCCUAAGGACAACUUUGCCCACUUUUGCAGGCUGUUCUUCCUUCCUCACCUUCAGUUCUGAAGCCGUUGUGGGUCAGCAUUGGACUUUUGACCAAAUUGCCCUUUUUCUUAGUUCUUUCUAGUUUUCCAGGGCUUAGCAGCAGGCAGUGGCCCACAAGAUGCUCCUGCUUUGAUAAAGGGAUGUUUUGAGCCCAAACUUGAAGCAAACUCUUGAUUUUGCUCAGCACGAUUCAUAUUUGAUUAGAUCCUGGUUUUGGGCAUAGGUCUCGUCAAUGAAAAUAAGUGGGAGAAGGAUUGUGGGGCCAGAAGUUGUGAUUUAGGUCUUAGGAGUGAUAAGUGAAAGGGACGCCUAGAAAUGCUUCGGAGGGAGAAGAGCCAUUCAGCUGAAGGAGAACACCACAGGAGCACGACAGGCAUUUUGCACCAUCAGCAGCAGAUGGAGGUAGCUGGUGUGCUUGCAUGAGCUGUGUUUUCUCAGGAAAUCAGGCUGCCCAUAGCUUCAACAGACCACAGCCAUUUGGCCCAGGUGCCCUGACCUGUGCCAAACCACGCCGUGAUCCCCAAGGAGCGGCACUGAAGCUUGCUGGGGAGCAGCAAUGCCCCAAUACCCAUGGCCAGCCUCCUUCCUUCCUACGAAGAAUCAAGCCAUAAUGAAAGGCAGCUUUCAAACACCUUCUUUAAAAUAACAAUCGCCAUACCAUAUCAGGACCAAAAUGUCUUAAUAUUGAUAAUAAUUCUGUUCUUUUUAUUUCUUUUUCUUGUUGAAAACGUAGAGCAGAAGCAUUCUUUCCCCCUUCGUUUCCAAGGGAUGAAGACAAAUGUCCUUUUUUUAACCUUUCUUUUUGGUCUUGUUUGUAGAGUGGGUUGAGGAGGGUAGUUAUUGAAAUGCCGCUGUUUGUGUCAAUGCCUUUUCUCUUUGAAUGGAGUAUAUGGGUGUAUUCCAGUUUGUUUAUCUGAGGGGAGGGCAAACCUGAUGAGCACUUUCCAGCCCCCCCUGUAGAUCAUAGAAUCAUGGAAUCAUGAAGGUUGGAAAAGACCUUUAAGGUCAUCGGGUCCAACCAUCAACCCAUCCCCACCGUGCCCACUAAACUAAAUGGUGUGGGAUGCCUCAGAUUUAUUCUCCGUUUCUUUUAUUAAUCAUUGCAUCGGUUGCAAGUAGCCUGUCACUACACUCCAUGAAAUCCCCCUUUUUUAAUGUGAUGGUGUUAAACCAGGCUAUGAGUUGUCUUCGUCUCCGAAGGCACCGAUGUGUCACGCUGCACAAGGUCGGCGAGCGGUCCGAACUGAAGGCCAACGCUGUACAGCUGUAAACCCCCUAUAAAUAAAUUGUGUAUAUUUUAUU